CCCCUCGGUGCUUCCCUGCGCUGGCUCUCUGCCUGUCCCCGGUACGAGAGAAUCGCUCGCCCUGGCUCCGCUGCAGUGGAAACUGGCAAGGAUGGAGAAGCGAAGAGGUAUCUGGAAUUGUGUCUUGUCUCAAACAAAGGCAUCUGAAGACUCCCCACAACUAUAAUUGAUGCUCACCAGACUGGAAUGGUUACCUGUAGCCUGGCUACACUGCAAAGGUCUAGAUUUCUUGAUCAGUAUGCUUUAAGUAAAGCUUAGCAACAAAAUAAAUGUUUGGCCAAUGUAUGCUGAA